rnacentral:tRNA from 1 species
AUUAAGGUGGCUAAGUGGUUAAGGUGGCAGACUGCUAGUCCAUUGUACAUUGCAUGGUGGGUUCAAAUCCCAUCCUUGUUU